UACAAACGAUUUUGUACGGUGAAACUGCGAAUGGCUCAUUACAACAGUUAUAGUUUAUUUGAUCGUGCGGUACUACGUGGAUAACCGUAGGAAUUCUAGAGCUAAUACAUGCCCCAUAGCUUUUUAUUCUCCUCCUCUUAUCUUAGGGGUGGCAAAUUAAAAGCGGGAUUUAUUAGAUCAAAAACCAAUCGCUUUUAGCGUGGCGGGAUGAAUCAUAAUAACUUUCCGAAUCGCAAGGCCGAAAUCAUAGGCCGGCGAUAUAUCAUUCAAAUUUCUGCCCUAUCAACUUUCGAUGGUAGGGUAGUGGCCUACCAUGGUGUUGACGGGUGACGGAGAAUUAGGGUUCGAUUCCGGAGAGGGAGCCUGAGAAACGGCUACCACAUCCAAGGAAGGCAGCAGGCGCGCAAAUUACCCAAUCCUGACAAAGGGAGGUAGCGACAAGAAAUAACGAUAGUAGUCCUUUUCAGGUCUACUCAUUGGAAUGAGGAUAAUUUACACCCCUUCUCGAGUAUCCAUUGGAGGGCAAGCCUGGUGCCAGCAGCCGCGGUAAUUCCAGCUCCAAUAGUGUAUAUUAAAGUUGUUGCAGUUAAAAAGCUCGUAGUCGAAUGUAGGGUUAUAAACGCUGAGAUGUCUUUUAGGAGACGAUUUUUGGCGUCAUAACUCUUUUUUACCGACCAAAAUUUGAUUUUAACUAAUCAGAUCGUGGGUGCCGGUAAUAUUUACUGUGAAUAAAUCAGAGUGUUCAUGGCAGGCCGUAUGGGCUUAAAUAUCUCAGCAUGGAAUAAUAGAAUAGGACUUAUGGUUCUAUUUUGUUGGUUUUUGGAGCCGAAGUAAU
rnacentral:rRNA from 1 species